GUGGGGAAUCUUGCGCAAUGGGCGAAAGCCUGACGCAGCCAUGCCGCGUGGAUGAUGAAGGUCUUAGGAUUGUAAAAUCCUUUCACCGGUGAAGAUAAUGACUGUAGCCGGAGAAGAAGCCCCGGCUAACUUCGUGCCAGCAGCCGCGGUAAUACGAAGGGGGCUAGCGUUGCUCGGAUUUACUGGGCGUAAAGGGCGCGUAGGCGGACAUUUAAGUCAGGGGUGAAAUCCCGGGGCUCAACUCUGGAACUGCCCUUGAUACUGGCGAUCUUGAGUGUGAGAGAGGUAUGUGGAACUCCGGGUGUAGAGGUGAAAUUCGUAGAUAUUCGGAAGAACACCAGUGGCGAAGGCGACAUACUGGCUCAUUACUGACGCUGAGGCGCGAAAGCGUGGGGAGCAAACAGGAUUAGAUACCCGGGUAGUCC
rnacentral:rRNA from 1 species